GUUGUUUGCUUAUGUGGAAUUUGCAUGUUCUUUGAUUAGCCUAAUCUUAACCUUUUUGUAGUAACCUUAUCAUAAGCAUUAGCUGUGGAGCAAAGUAUGGAUUUUAAGUGGGUAAACUUUGUUUUGAAAGUGUUAAAAAGUGUAGGUGACACUACUUCACGCCUUCCACCACAGCUGUCUUUGUCUGUUAUUAACAUAAACUAGUCUAGUUGAAGUGCAGAACAGUAGUAACGUCAUUAGCAGGCAUUGCACGAGGAAGAGAUGUUUUUAAAAGAACAAGCUCUGCAUGCUGCUGUGCCCCCUUUCUCUCUGUCUCUGCUGCAGUUUUAUGUUGAUAUGCAUUGUACACUAACACUGUUUACUUGCUUACGAAAAAUACACAAUGCAUGCUCCUGUAGAACUACACUAGGCUUGUGUUUUUACCUGUAUCCCCAUCAGUGAACAGAGCUCAUUUUUACUCCCUGCCAAUAUUUGCCAUUGUAUUCCCUACAGCAAUGAGACAUUUUUCGUUGAAUACUGUACUUCAGGCCAUGAAGAAGAGAGGAGGGAUCGAAGACAUGACAAGAUCCAAAAUGGGCCUUUCUCUGGGUGGAGGGAGGCUGUGCAAGCACUGAAUAUUUACACUAAAGUUUUGGCACUCAAUUUAAUCCAACUGCCUCAAAAGCAGAAAAUGUAGCAGUGUGCAAAAAAAAAUGAUAUUUUUCUUUUUUGCUCAGUUUUCUUUUUACUACCUACAGUAUGUUUCAUAUGUAGCAGCAUAAAAAAACAAUAUUAUUUUGAUUGAAUGUGCAUAAGUUUGACUUGAAGAAUUGCUGUGCAGUUUUCAAAAAUGUAUGUUGUUUCUUUGUAAAAGUGGUCAUUUGAUAUCCUUGUUCAGGUAUAAUUAGUAGUUGCAGUAAAUGCAGAUUAUUUCUACGUCAGGGUUUUUGAGAGUAUUAAUCAAAGAUUCCGUUUUUAGUUUGUGGCUUUAUGCAGUGUUCUGUAGUAGUACAUAGUGUUAAGGCCGGUUUUCGAAAGCUGAUCAUUGGGUUUUGGGGUCAAUUACAUUUCAAUUGAGGUAAUAAACUCAGUGCAGUUUUCCUAAUACUUUUCAGUAAGAAAAUUAUAAAAAUUUCAGAGUAAUUCCUGAAUUUCUAUGUGACUGAUCCCACUUCUGCUGGUCAUACACUAAGGUCACACUGUCAAUCAGAUAGACUUUUGUUAUGACCUACCUAUAUAAAGUUUACAUACAAUAAAAUGAGCGAUAUAUAAUACAUUGUUUCUUAUUGGAAGAGGAAAAGAUCCUGCCAAAGUUCCCACGUUUUAAUUAUUAUGGAAAAGUGAACACACAAGUGGGGCUUAGUCAAGGCAAAGGUGGAAUUAUUGGUAAAAAGAAGAAAAAUAUGAAUACCCAUUUUAAAGCAAUAUUAUACCACCUUAAAAUCCGUUGAUUCCCUUUAACUUAUUCAUAAUGUUGGUCUAGUAUGACUAGAGUAGCCUACACUCUCAGAUGUGUUGUAACCACUGGGCUAUUACACACUUACGCAAACAUGUGAAUUGACAUGUGAAUUUGCCUCUAAUUGUGUGUUGAAUUCAUGUUGAGCAUGACGUGGCACUCUAUAGACCGCAAACAUUAUCAGUUCUCAUCUUUGAGAAUAAAGACAAAGUUACACUGCAUGGUCUGUGUAAAACUUUGAAGUGUACCUGUGUAUAUUUCCUUGUAAAAACACUGAGAAAACUAUACUAACUUAUUUAUGUUCAGCUUUUUGUAUCUGUGGGUGUAUGAAUAUCCAAAGUGGCAUUUCCUUUGCAUUUUCUUGUAAAUACUAUACAAGUAAUUUUUUGGAUACAAAAGGUUGCAGAACUGAGCCUAAUUAGAAAUAUACCUGUAUAUUUUGUAUUGUGUCUCUAAAACUGGCAAUCAUUUGAUUAAAAAAAUGAAUAAUUAAA
ensembl:lncRNA